rnacentral:rRNA from 1 species
CCCUUAGAUGUUCUGGGCCGCACGCGCGCUACACUGAUGCAUUCAACGAGUCCAACCUUGACCGAGAGGUCCGGGUAAUCUUUGAAACUGCAUCGUGAUGGGGCUAGAUUAUUGCAAUUAUUAAUCUUCAACGAGGAAUGCCUAGUAAGCGUGAUUCAUCAAAUCGCGUUGAUUACGUCCCUGCCCUUUGUACACACCGCCCGUCGCUCCUACCGAUUGAGUGUGUUGGUGAGGAGUUUGGAUUGGCCUCGGAAGGUGGUUCGCCACCGUCCGUAGCUGAGAAGUUCUCCAAACCGCCCCACUUAGAGGAAGGAGAAGUCGUNACA